GGGUUGUGAGGUUAAGCGACUAAGCGUACACGGUGGAUGCCCUGGCAGUCAGAGGCGAUGAAGGACGUGCUAAUCUGCGAUAAGCGUCGGUAAGGUGAUAUGAACCGUUAUAACCGGCGAUUUCCGAAUGGGGAAACCCAGUGUGUUUCGACACACUAUCAUUAACUGAAUCCAUAGGUUAAUGAGGCGAAC
rnacentral:rRNA from 2 species